rnacentral:lncRNA from 1 species
AUCCGUCACCUGACACGGCCCUACCAGGAACAGCCGCGCUCCCGCGGAUUCUGGUGCUGCUCGCGUCCCCGCUCCCCUAUUCCCCUUAUUUUAUUCCUGGCUCCCCUCGUCGAAAGUCUUCCAUUCUUCAAACUAGAUUAUUUAAAAAUGAAAAAGGAAGAAAGGAAAGCGAGGUCAUCUCAUUGCUCUAUCCGCCAAUCAGGAGGCUGAAUGUCAGUUUUGAACUAAAAGCCGCUCCGCUCCUCUUCUAGAUUUGGAAAACAAGCGAAAUUAAACUAAACCGCUGCACGCCUCUGACGCGACAUCUGGACACGGCGCGGCGCUGGCGCUGCCGGAGCUGUCGACCCGGCCUGGCGCCGGACUAGCGAGGCAGCCGAGCUGCAGACACAGAGAUGCAGAUCUUUGUGAAGACCCUCACGGGCAAGACCAUCACCCUUGAGGUCGAGCCCAGUGACACCAUUGAGAAUGUCAGUGCGAAAAUUCAAGACAAGGAGGGUAUC